UAGUCUUUUUGCUACAUUUCUCCACCAGGAAAUAAUCUUUCUGUCAUGGUGCCUCUGUCAGUCUCCUCCCCCUCUCCACUCUCCUGAUCUUCACCAGCUGCGACCACUCACCUCAUCACCUCACCUGUCUUUUUAAGGAGCACCAGGAUCAUCACUCUUCGCCAGUCCGUUGCCCCUGAUGGAUCUUGUUACCACGAGUGGUCGUUGCUGUUGCCUCUGCUGGAUCCCCACUUGGAUCUCCUCACCACGGUCACACCACGAGCCUCUGCCUCCAUUCCACGGUUCUACUCCCAAGACGGCUUUCUCCCUCUCCGAAGAACCAACCAGUGACGCCCCACCUCGACCUCCCACCUGGACCCUACUUCUUCUCCUGUUCCAGCCGUCACCUCCUCAUAUCAUUAUUAAAUCCUUCAUCCUUCA